UGCGCGGAAGAUGUAACGGGGCUAAGCCAGUUACCGAAGCUGCGGAUGCAUCCGCUCUUUUAAGUUUUUUGAAAAAAAAGGAAUAAAGGUGAGAUUAACCUUAAUUGAAUUUUCAGAAGAUUUAAGAGAGCGGAUGCGUGGUAGGAGAGCGUUCUGUAAGCCAGAGAAGGUGAAUCGAGAGGUUUGCUGGAGGUAUCAGAAGUGCGAAUGCUGACAUGAGUAGCGAUAAAGGGAGUGAAAAGCUCCCUCGCCGUAAGUCCAAGGAUUCCUGCGCAACGUUCAUCGGCGCAGGGUUAGUCGGCCCCUAAGGUGAGGCAGAGAUGCGUAGCUGAUGGGAAGUGGGUUAAUAUUCCUACACCGGCUUGUGAUGUGAAGGGGGGACGGAUUGCGGAAUGUGUACGGGCUGUUGGAUAUGCUCGGUAUUGUAGCCAAGAAGUUGAUUAGGCAAAUCCGGUCAAAGGAUUCAAGGCUAUGAUUCGCAGAAGACUUAAGGUCUUUGAAGUCACAGGAAGUGGUUCCAGGAAAAGCCUCUAAGCGAUAAAUUACAAGUUGACCGUACCGCAAACCGACACAGGUGGACGGGAUGAAUAUUCCAAGGCGCUUGAGAGAACUCAGGAGAAGGAACUCGGCAAAUUGAUACCGUAACUUCGGGAGAAGGUAUGCCUUUGUAUGGUGAGUAGCCAGAAGAGGCCGCAGAGAAUAGGUGGCUGCGACUGUUUAUUAAAAACAUAGCACUCUGCAAACACGAAAGUGG
rnacentral:rRNA from 1 species